rnacentral:RNase_P_RNA from 2 species
UGGGUCGGUUGGAUGAUCGCGUCGCGCACGGUCCGCCGUGUCGCGCCGAGGAACGUCCGGGCUCCACAGGGCAGGGCGGUGGGUAACACCCACCCGGAGCGAUCCGCGAGACAGUGCCACAGAGAGAAGACCGCCGCCGGGCCGAGAGGCCGGGCGGUAAGGGUGAAAGGGUGGUGUAAGAGACCACCGGGGUCGCGGUGACGCGAUCCGCAGGGUAAACCUCGCCCGGAGCAAGGCCAGACAGGGGAUGUUGACGCGGCUCGCCGAGUCCCCGGGUAGGCCGCUGGAGCGGCACGGCAACGUGUCGCCGAGAGAGAUGAUCAUCGAAGGGGCUUCGGCCCCGGAACAGAACCCGGCGUACAGACCGGCCCAUUCG